UACGUAGGGGGCAAGCGUUGUCCGGAUUCAUUGGGCGUAAAGAGCGUGUAGGCGGCCAGGUAGGUCGGUUGUGAAAACUGGAGGCUCAACCUUCAGAGGUCGACCGAAACCAUCUGGCUAGAGUCCGGGAGAGGAGAGUGGAAUUCCUGGUGUAGCGGUGAAAUGCGCAGAUAUCAGGAAGAACACCCGUGGCGAAAGCGGCUCUCUGGAACGGUACUGACGCUGAGACGCGAAAGCGUGGGGAGCAAACAGG
rnacentral:rRNA from 1 species